rnacentral:lncRNA from 1 species
CUUUGCCAGGUGGAUGACUGAUAGGUGCAAAUCCCAGGUACAGGAUGAUUCCCACACAGGUGGAUCUUUUCUGGCUUAGACAAACAGGGAGAGGUGAGAUGAAGGGACAAUUUCAACAACACUCAUCUCUUUGGGAUGAUAUCACCCCCGUAGCUAUCAUGCCCAGUGGCUCCAUGACCACCAUGAGAAUUACUUUUCACCAGCUCCUAAAGCUCUGAACCUGUGCUGUGGCAAACAUCGGGGGCAAGCUUCAUGUUCUGUGUGUUGGCUGAUUGCACAAGAAGCUAAUAUCAUCGGGAGUGUAUUCUGAGGAUCUGCCUUGUGUCUGCCAUCGUCUCACAAAGCAUUACAUUGUAGAGGAAUCAGAAUAGCAUGAAACCACCAGGCAAGUUGAAGCAGAGUCAUACGCAAAACUCAAGACACCAGCACACAUGGCAUUGCUAACUUUUUCUCCACCCAGCAAAGCUCAUUCUCUCAGGGAC